rnacentral:lncRNA from 1 species
GGAUGGGGCCCCAAAAUGGGGGGAUGGGACCCCAAAAAGGAGAUGGGACCCCAAAAUGAGAGAUGGGGUCCCAAAAUGGGGGGAUGGGACCCCAAAAUGGGGCACCAGGAUCCUAAAUAGGAGAUGGAACCCCCAAAUGGGGCACCAGGACCCCAAAUGGGGGAUGGGACCCCAAAAUCGGGGGAUGGGACCCCAAAAAGGAGAUGGGAUCCUAAAUGGGUCACCGGGACCCCAAAUGGGGGAUGGGACCCCAAAAUGGGGGGAUGGGACCCUAAAUGGGGCACCAGGAUCCUAAAUAGGAGAUGGAACCCCCAAAUGGGGCACCAGGACCCCAAAUGGGGGAUGGGACCCCAAAAUCGGGGGAUGGGACCCCAAAAAGGAGAUGGGAUCCUAAAUGGGUCACCGGGACCCCAAAUGGGGGAUGGGACCCCAAAAUGGGGGGAUGGGACCCUAAAUGGGUCACUGGGACCCCAAAUGGGGGAUGGGAGCCCCAAAUAGGAGAGGGGACCCCAAAAUGGGGCACCAGGAUCCUAAAUGGGACAUGGGACCCCAAAUGGGGGAUGGGACCCCAAAAUGGGGGGAUGGGACCCCAAAUAGGACAGGGGACCCCAAAAUGGUGCACCAGGACCCCAAAACUGGGAGAUGGGACCCCAAAAUGGGGGACAGCACCCCAAAAUGGGGCACCAGGAUCCUAAAUGGGAGAUGGGACCCCAAAAUGGGGGGUGAGACCCCAGUGCUCCCAGUCCAUCCCAGUGCCUCCCAUUCCCAUCCCAGUCCCAUCCCAGUCCCAUCCCAAUCCCUCCCAUUCCCAUCUCAACCUCUUCCAGUCCCUCCCAGUCCCAUCCCAGUCCCAUCCCAGUUCCCUCCAGUCCCUCCCAGUCCCAUCCCAGUCCCUCCCAGUCCCUCCCAGUCCGUCCCAGUCUCACCCUGGGCACCCUGGCAUAGCGCCCGUUGCGGGUAUCUCUGAUCACACAGACGUCCAGCAGCUCCACCUCCUGGGGGGGGGGCAGGAAUUGGAGCCCCCAGUAACAACC